rnacentral:rRNA from 1 species
GUGGCUCAGGACGAACGCUGGCGGCGUGCUUAACACAUGCAAGUCGAGCGGUAAGGCCCUUCGGGGUACACGAGCGGCGAACGGGUGAGUAACACGUGAGCAACCUGCCCCUGACUCCGGGAUAAGCGGUGGAAACGCCGUCUAAUACCGGAUAUGACACACCAUCUCCUGGUGGUGUGUGGAAAGUUUUGUCGGUCAGGGAUGGGCUCGCGGCCUAUCAGCUAGUUGGUGGGGUAAAGGCCUACCAAGGCGAUUACGGGUAGCCGGCCUGAGAGGGCGACCGGCCACACUGGGACUGAGACACGGCCCAGACUCCUGCGGGAGGCAGCAGUGGGGAAUAUUGCACAAUGGGCGAAAGCCUGAUGCAGCGACGCCGCGUGGGGGAUGACGGCCUUCGGGUUGUAAACCUCUUUUACCACCAACGCAGGCCCCGGGUUCUCUCGGGGUUGACGGUAGGUGGGAUAGAC